ACUCAAUAGAUACCCCGGUAGUCCUGGCAGUAAACGGUGCGCGUUUGGUGUGGGAGGAAUCGACCCCUUCCGUGCCGGAGCUAAACGCGUUAAAAACGCGCCGCCUGGGGAGUACGGUCGCAAGAUUAAAACCUCAAAGAAAUUGACGGGGGUCCCGCACAAGCGGUGGAGUAUGUGGCUUAAUUCGAUGCAACGCGAAGAACCUUACCUGGGCUUGACAUGCAUCUCUAAGUCGGUGAGAGCCGGCGACUCCCGCAAGGGUAGAAUUUGCACAGGUGCUGCAUGGCUGUCGUCAGCUCGUGUCGUGAGAUGUUGGGUUAAGUCCCGCAACGAGCGCAACCCCGUGUGACCUGUUGCCACCUGCACUUCGGUGCAGAGCACUCUGGUCAGACUGCCCUGUGAAACCGGGGUAGGAAGGUGGGGAUGACGUCAAGUCAGCAUGGCCCUUACGGCCCAGGGUCUGCACACGUACUACAAUGCCCAGUACAGAAUGAACCGGAGACCGCGAGGUGGAGGAAACUCAACUAAAACCGUGGGUCCCGAAUUCGGA
rnacentral:rRNA from 1 species